rnacentral:rRNA from 1 species
UACGAGGGGGGCGAUCGUUGUUCGGAAUUAUUGGGCGUAAAGGGUGCGUAGGCGGUUUGGUAAGUCUGAUGUGAAAUCUAUGGGCUCAACUCAUAGUCUGCAUCGGAAACUGCCGGGCUUGAGUAUGGGAGAGGUGAGUGGAAUUCCUGGUGUAGCGGUGAAAUGCGUAGAUAUCAGGAGGAACACCUGUGGCGAAGGCAGAUCUCUGGGCCGUAACUGACGCUGAGGAGCGAAAGCAUGGGGAGCGAACAGG